AAUCAACGCUGGCGGCGUGCCUAACACAUGCAAGUCGCACGAGAAAGUGGAGCAAUCCAUGAGUAAAGUGGCGCACGGGUGAGUAACACGUGAAUAAUCUACCUCCGAGUGGGGAAUAACUGAGAGAAAUCUUAGCUAAUACCGCAUAACACUUACGAGUCAAAGCAGCAAUGCGCUUGGAGAGGAGUUCGCGGCCGAUUAGUUAGUUGGCGGGGUAAUGGCCCACCAAGACGAUGAUCGGUAUCCGGCCUGAGAGGGCGCACGGACACACUGGAACUGAAACACGGUCCAGACUCCUACGGGAGGCAGCAGUGGGGAAGUUUUGUCGCAAGUGGGGGAAACCCGUGACGCAGCAACGCCGCGUGGAGGAUGAAGUAUCUUGGUACGUAAACUCCUUUCGA
rnacentral:rRNA from 1 species